rnacentral:rRNA from 1 species
GCUUGCUAUAAAGAAUAAUUAGUGGCAGACGGGUGAGUAAUGCAUAGGAAUCUACCUAGUAGUAUGGGAUAGCCACUAGAAAUGGUGGGUAAUACUGUAUAAUCCCUGCGGGGGAAAGAUUUAUCGCUAUUAGAUGAGCCUAUGUUAGAUUAGCUAGUUGGUAGGGUAAAGGCCUACCAAGGCGAUGAUCUAUAGCUGGUCUGAGAGGAUGAUCAGCCACACUGGAACUGAGAUACGGUCCAGACUCCUACGGGAGGCAGCAGUGGGGAAUAUUGGACAAUGGGCGCAAGCCUGAUCCAGCUAUGCCGCGUGAGUGAGGAAGGCCUUAGGGUUGUAAAACUCUUUCAGUAGGGAAGAUAAUGACGGUACCUACAGAAGAAGUCCCGGCAAACUCCGUGCCAGCAGCCGCGGUAAUACGGAGGGGGCAAGCGUUGUUCGGAAUUAUUGGGCGUAAAGGGCAUGUAGGCGGUUCGGUAAGUUAAAGGUGAAAUGCCAGGGCUUAACCCUGGAGCUGCUUUA